CAGGCCUAACACAUGCAAGUCGAACGAGACCUUCGGGUCUAGUGGCGCACGGGUGCGUAACGCGUGGGAAUCUGCCCUUGGGUUCGGAAUAACAGCGAGAAAUUGCUGCUAAUACCGGAUAAUGACGUAAGUCCAAAGAUUUAUCGCCCAGGGAUGAGCCCGCGUAGGAUUAGCUAGUUGGUGGGGUAAAGGCCUACCAAGGCGACGAUCCUUAGCUGGUCUGAGAGGAUGAUCAGCCACACUGGGACUGAGACACGGCCCAGACUCCUACGGGAGGCAGCAGUGGGGAAUAUUGGACAAUGGGCGAAAGCCUGAUCCAGCAAUGCCGCGUGAGUGAUGAAGGCCUUAGGGUUGUAAAGCUCUUUUACCCGGGAUGAUAAUGACAGUACCGGGAGAAUAAGCUCCGGCUAACUCCGUGCCAGCAGCCGCGGUAAU
rnacentral:rRNA from 1 species